AAAUCACCUAACCUAGACCUUCAAUAUACACCCCCUAAACUUCUAAAUGAUCGACCCAUAACCCGUAACCCUUCUAAAGACACAAUGUGAUUUAUUCCCAUUGCUCUGCAUGUCAAAGUGAAGAAAUUCAACCAAGCACGGGUAAACGGCGGGAGUAACUAUGACUCUCUUAAGGUAUCUAUAUGACUUGUCAUCUAAUUAGUGACGCGCAUGAAUGGAUCAUUAACGAGAUUCCCCAUUUUCCCCGGCUACUAUAUUCUAGAGAAACCACAUCCAAGGGAAUGGGCAUGGCAGAAUUAGCCGAGAAAGAACACCAUGUUGAGCUUGACUCUAGUCCUAACCCAUUCAUAGUUUGGAAAAAUUAGGGCAUAGUUUUGGAAAGUUAGACCAUAACAUUUUCCAUUUGGAUUCAAAUUGAUGGU
rnacentral:ncRNA from 1 species